AUUAGUCGAACGGUUGCUAGCAAUAGCAAUAGUGGCGCACGGGUGCGUAACGCGUAACCAACCUACCCGAAUCUGGGGGAUAGCCCGCCGAAAGGCGGAUUAAUACCGCAUAAAACCACAGAGUGGCAUCACUUAAUGGUUAAAGAUUUAUUGGAUUCGGAUGGGGUUGCGUGCCAUUAGCUAGUUGGGGGGGUAACGGCCCACCAAGGCGACGAUGGCUAGGGGAGCUGAGAGGCUGGUCCCCCACACGGGCACUGAGAUACGGGCCCGACUCCUACGGGAGGCAGCAGUAGGGAAUAUUGGGCAAUGGGCGAGAGCCUGACCCAGCCAUGCCGCGUGCAGGAUGAAGGCUUUCUGAGUCGUAAACUGCUUUUGCCAGGGAAGAAAAAGGGGCGGGCGCGCUCUACUGACGGUACCUGGUGAAUAAGCACCGGCUAACUCCGUGCCAGCAGCCGCGGUAAUACGGAGGGUGCAAGCGUUGUCCGGAUUUAUUGGGUUUAAAGGGUGCGUAGGCGGUUCUUUAAGUCUGGGGUGAAAGCCCGUUGCUCAACAACGGAACUGCCCUGGAAACUGGAGGACUUGAGUACAGACGAGGGUGGCGGAAUGGAUGCUGUAGCGGUGAAAUGCAUAGAUAGCAUCCAGAACCCCGAUUGCGAAGGCAGCUGCCUAGACUGUAGCUGACGCUGAGGCACGAAAGCGUGGGGAGCGAACAGGAUUAGAUACCCUGGUAGUCCACGCCGUAAACGAUGGAUACUCGCUGGUGGCGAUAGACGGUCACUGGCUUAGCGAAAGCGUUAAGUAUCCCACCUGGGGGAGUACGCUUCGCAAGAGUGAAACUCAAAAGAAUUGAC
rnacentral:rRNA from 1 species